rnacentral:rRNA from 1 species
GUUUGAUCCUGGCUCAGAUUGAACGCUGGCGGCAUGCUUUACACAUGCAAGUCGAACGGUAACAGGGAGCUUGCUCCGCUGACGAGUGGCGAACGGGUGAGUAAUGCAUCGGAACGUACCGUGUAAUGGGGGAUAACGUAGCGAAAGUUACGCUAAUACCGCAUACGCCCUGAGGGGGAAAGUGGGGGACCGCAAGGCCUCACGUUAUACGAGCGGCCGAUGUCGGAUUAGCUAGUUGGUGGGGUAAAGGCCUACCAAGGCGACGAUCCGUAGCGGGUCUGAGAGGAUGAUCCGCCACACUGGGACUGAGACACGGCCCAGACUCCUACGGGAGGCAGCAGUGGGGAAUUUUGGACAAUGGGCGCAAGCCUGAUCCAGCCAUGCCGCGUGAGUGAAGAAGGCCU